AAGCUUGCUUCUAUGACGUUAGCGGCGGACGGGUGAGUAACACGUGGGCAACCUGCCUGUAAGACUGGGAUAACUUCGGGAAACCGAAGCUAAUACCGGAUAGGAUUUUCUCCUUCAUGGGAGAUUAUUGAAAGAUGGUUUCGGCUAUCACUUACAGAUGGGCCCGCGGUGCAUUAGCUAGUUGGUGAGGUAACGGCUCACCAAGGCAACGAUGCAUAGCCGACCUGAGAGGGUGAUCGGCCACACUGGGACUGAGACACGGCCCAGACUCCUACGGGAGGCAGCAGUAGGGAAUCUUCCGCAAUGGACGAAAGUCUGACGGAGCAACGCCGCGUGAGUGAUGAAGGCUUUCGGGUCGUAAAACUCUGUUGUUAGGGAAGAACAAGUACGAGAGUAACUGCUCGUACCUUGACGGUACCUAACCAGAAAGCCACGGCUAACUACGUGCCAGCAGCCGCGGUAAUACGUAGGUGGCAAGCGUUAUCCGGAAUUAUUGGGCGUAAAGCGCGCGCAGGCGGUUUCUUAAGUCUGAUGUGAAAGCCCACGGCUCAACCGUGGAGGGUCAUUGGAAACUGGGGAACUUGAGUGCAGAAGAGAAAAGCGGAAUUCCACGUGUAGCGGUGAAAUGCGUAGAGAUGUGGAGGAACACCAGUGGCGAAGGCGGCUUUUUGGUCUGUAACUGACGCUGAGGCGCGAAAGCGUGGGGAGCAAACAGGAUUAGAACCCUGGUAGUCCACGCCGUAAACGAUGAGUGCUAAGUGUUAGAGGGUUUCCGCCCUUUAGUGCUGCAGCUAACGCAUUAAGCACUCCGCCUGGGGAGUACGGUCGCAAGACUGAAACUCAAAGGAAUUGACGGGGGCCCGCACAAGCGGUGGAGCAUGUGGUUUAAUUCGAAGCAACGCGAAGAACCUUACCAGGUCUUGACAUCCUCUGACAACUCUAGAGAUAGAGCGUUCCCCUUCGGGGGACAGAGUGACAGGUGGUGCAUGGUUGUCGUCAGCUCGUGUCGUGAGAUGUUGGGUUAAGUCCCGCAACGAGCGCAACCCUUGAUCUUAGUUGCCAGCAUUCAGUUGGGCACUCUAAGGUGACUGCCGGUGACAAACCGGAGGAAGGUGGGGAUGACGUCAAAUCAUCAUGCCCCUUAUGACCUGGGCUACACACGUGCUACAAUGGAUGGUACAAAGGGCUGCAAGACCGCGAGGUCAAG
rnacentral:rRNA from 2 species